UGCAAAUAGCCAUCUAAAAAAAUUUUAUGUUAAAACUAGUUCUGAGAAAUAUAUAAUUACAAAAAUGAUCAUAUCUCUGUUACGCAGGCACCACGCAAGCGCCACGUGAGCGGAUUGGACGCUUGUUUGGCAAGUUGAACACGAUGAAUUAUUUACCGUAUUUAAAUACGGUAAACGGUUCACCAUAUUUUUUUUGAUUAUCCGGAUUGCUUGAUGUAAACCCUAAACGUAUUGUACAUCAUUUUUUUCGGAACAGAAUAAUUGGCUGAAUACGGUGAACCAUUCACCGUGUUCAACUUGCCAGACCCGCCAUCCAGCCCGAACGCGUGGCGCUUACGUGACGCCUGAAAGAAAUAAAAUUAUUUUUAUAAUUAUAAAUUUAUCGAAAUUAUUUUUAAAAUAAAAUUUGUUCAGAGCACCAAUUGCAAAAAGAAC
rnacentral:lncRNA from 1 species